rnacentral:rRNA from 1 species
AGCAUAUCAAUAAGCGGAGGAAAAGAAACCAACAGGGAUUGCCCCAGUAACGGCGAGUGAAGCGGCAAGAGCUCAAAUUUGAAAGCUGGCUCCUUCGGGGUCCGCAUUGUAAUUUGUAGAGGAUGCUUCGGGAGCGGUCCCCAUCUAAGUGCCCUGGAACGGGACGUCAUAGAGGGUGAGAAUCCCGUAUGGGAUGGGGUGUCCGCGCCCGUGUGAAGCUCCUUCGACGAGUCGAGUUGUUUGGGAAUGCAGCUCUAAAUGGGUGGUAAAUUUCAUCUAAAGCUAAAUAUUGGCCGGAGACCGAUAGCGCACAAGUAGAGUGAUCGAAAGAUGAAAAGCACUUUGAAAAGAGAGUUAAAAAGCACGUGAAAUUGUUGAAAGGGAAGCGCUUGCGACCAGACUCGCUCGCGGGGUUCAGCCGGCAUUCGUGCCGGUGUAUUUCCCCGCGGGCGGGCCAGCGUCGGUUUGGGCGGUCGGUCAAAGGCCCUCGGAAGGUAACGCCCCUAGGGGCGUCUUAUAGCCGAGGGUGCAAUGCGACCUGCCUAGACCGAGGAACGCGCUUCGGCUCGGACGCUGGCAUAAUGGUCGUAAGCGACCC